GUGCUUGGGAGUCACAUACACUAAAACUGGAGCCAUGCGGACAAGACGAGCAUGGCCCCGGAGCAAAGAUGACAUGCAAAUUUGUGAAGCUUUCCAUAGUUUU
ensembl:snRNA U6 U6 spliceosomal RNA